rnacentral:ncRNA from 2 species
UAUAAUGUUAACACCUUGGGUACCAAAGCGGUUUAAAAGGGAACGCCGGUGAAAGGCCGGGGCUGCCCAGCAACCGUAACCGGGGACGAAAUCCACAGAAUGCCACUGGGAGUAUUUCCUGGGAAGGCGUGGAGAGUAGGUUGAUCCGGGAGCCGGGAGACCUGCCUAAGGUGUAACAAUUCC